AGAGUUUGAUCCUGGCUCAGAUUGAACGCUGGCGGCAUGCCUUACACAUGCAAGUCGAACGGCAGCACGGGGGCAACCCUGGUGGCGAGUGGCGAACGGGUGAGUAAUACAUCGGAACGUGUCCUGGAGUGGGGGAUAGCCCGGCGAAAGCCGGAUUAAUACCGCAUACGCUCUGAGGAGGAAAGGGGGGGAUCUUUCGGGACCUCUCGCUCAAGGGGCGGCCGAUGGCAGAUUAGGUAGUUGGUGGGGUAAAGGCCUACCAAGCCGACGAUCUGUAGCUGGUCUGAGAGGACGACCAGCCACACUGGGACUGAGACACGGCCCAGACUCCUACGGGAGGCAGCAGUGGGGAAUUUUGGACAAUGGGCGCAAGCCUGAUCCAGCAAUGCCGCGUGUGUGAAGAAGGCCUUCGGGUUGUAAAGCACUUUUGUCCGGAAAGAAAACCUCGGCCCGAAUACGGCGGGGGGAUGACGGUACCGGAAGAAUAAGCACCGGCUAACUACGUGCCAGCAGCCGCGGUAAUACGUAGGGUGCGAGCGUUAAUCGGAAUUACUGGGCGUAAAGCGUGCGCAGGCGGUUCGUUAAGACAGAUGUGAAAUCCCCGGGCUUAACCUGGGAACUGCAUUUGUGACUGGCGGGCUAGAGUAUGGCAGAGGGGGGUAGAAUUCCACGUGUAGCAGUGAAAUGCGUAGAGAUGUGGAGGAAUACCGAUGGCGAAGGCAGCCCCCUGGGCCAAUACUGACGCUCAUGCACGAAAGCGUGGGGAGCAAACAGGAUUAGAUACCCUAGUAGUCC
rnacentral:rRNA from 1 species